AUGAGGAAGCCACACUUCAUGGGGAAGCUACAAGACGAAGUGAGGAGUAUCAUACCCGGGGGACAAGAAAUUGUGAGCCAAUCUGACAUGAACAACAUGGUGUACCUAAGAGCAGUAAUAAAAAAGCCUCUCAGGUUGUAUCCUGUUGCGCCUCUCCUUGCUCCGCACCUUGCCAUGGCUGAUUGUACCAUCCAUGGAUACAUGGUUCCUGCUGGAACUCGUGUCGUCAUAAAUGCAUGGGCCGUUGGGAGGGAUUCGAGCUCUUGGGAGGGUGCGGAAGAGUUCAUACCUGAAAGAUUUACAGAUAAAGGCACCGCUACGAAUGUCAAUUUCAAGGGGAAUGAUUUCCAGUUCUUGCCGUUCGGGCCCGGACGAAGGAUAUGCCCUGGUAUAAACCUCGGAAUCGCAAAUGUCGAAUUUAUGUUAGCAAACCUCGUGAACCAUUUUGAUUGGGAACUUCCGGUUGGGGUUGAGAGAAAAAAUAUCUAUAUGACAGAGGUGUUUGGGCUAACCGUUCGCAGGAAGGAGAAACUAUUGUUGAUUCCAAAAUCACGCAUGUAA
rnacentral:rRNA from 1 species